CACCGAUGCUAGAUCAGGAGCCCUUCCUUUUACCUCCCCUUGUACCCCUGUAUAUUUUCAUCGUUGGUGCAGUCUCCCCACCAAGGCUGCCAUUCCUAUAAUCCCAGCAUUUUCAGAGGUCAAGGAAGGAGGAGCCCUUGAAACCAGGAGUUCAAAACCAGCCUGGGCAACAGCAAGAUCUCAUCCCUACAAAAACUUUUUUUAAAUUAAAAAGGCACAGUGAUGCACACUUAGUGUCACAGCUACUUGAAAGGCUGAGGCAGGAGAAUCGCUUUUGAGUCCAGGAGUUCAAGGCUGCAGUGAGCUAAGAUCUAGCCACCACACUCUAGCCUGGGCAACAGAGUGAGAAUCUGUCUCUCAAAAAAAAAAAAAAAAUUAACAAAUGUGGUAUUGUUGGCUCACCACACCUGUAAUCCCAGCACUGUGGGAGCCAAGGUGGGCGGAUCACUUGAGGUCAGGAGUUCAAGACCAGCCUGGCCAACAUGGUGAAACCUUGUCUCUCCUAAUCUGAUAUAGUCUAUUGAAUUCUAUUUUAUUUCACAUUCUUAAAAUGUUCAUCUUCACAUACUAAAUUGGUUUUAUGGCU
rnacentral:lncRNA from 1 species